rnacentral:rRNA from 1 species
UACGGAGGAUGCGAGCGUUAUCCGGAUUUAUUGGGUUUAAAGGGUGCGUAGGCGGGAUGCCAAGUCAGCGGUAAAAAUGCGGUGCUCAACGCCGUCGAGCCGUUGAAACUGUACUUCUUGAGUGCUGGAGAGGCAAUCGGAAUUCCGUGUGUAGCGGUGAAAUGCGUAGAUAUACGGAGGAACACCAGUGGCGAAGGCGGAUUGCUGGACAGUAACUGACGCUGAGGCGCGAAAGCGUGGGGAGCAAACAGG